rnacentral:rRNA from 1 species
AGAGUUUGAUCCUGGCUCAGGAUGAACGCUAGCGACAGGCCUAACACAUGCAAGUCGAGGGGCAGCGGAGAGGUAGCAAUACCUUUGCCGGCGACCGGCGCACGGGUGAGUAACACGUAUGCAAUCCACCUGUAACAGGGGGAUAACCCGGAGAAAUCCGGACUAAUACCCCAUAAUAUGGGUUCUCCGCAUGGAGGGUCCAUUAAAGAGAGCAAUUUUGGUUACAGACGAGCAUGCGCUCCAUUAGCCAGUUGGCGGGGUAACGGCCCACCAAAGCGACGAUGGAUAGGGGUUCUGAGAGGAAGGUCCCCCACAUUGGAACUGAGACACGGUCCAAACUCCUACGGGAGGCAGCAGUGAGGAAUAUUGGUCAAUGGUCGGCAGACUGAACCAGCCAAGUCGCGUGAGGGAAGACGGCCCUACGGGUUGUAAACCUCUUUUGUCGGAGAGUAAAGUACGCUACGUGUAGCGUAUUGCAAGUAUCCGAAGAAAAAGCAUCGGCUAACUCCGUGCCAGCAGCCGCGGUAAUACGGAGGAUGCAAGCGUUAUCCGGAUUUAUUGGGUUUAAAGGGUGCGUAGGCGGCACGCCAAGUCAGCGGUGAAAUUUCCGGGCUCAACCCGGACUGUGCCGUUGAAACUGGCGAGCUAGAGUGCACAAGAGGCAGGCGGAAUGCGUGGUGUAGCGGUGAAAUGCAUAGAUAUCACGCAGAACCCCGAUUGCGAAGGCAGCCUGCUAGGGUGCGACAGACGCUGAGGCACGAAAGCGUGGGUAUCGAACAGGAUUAGAUACCCUGGUAGUCCACGCAGUAAACGAUGAAUACUAACUGUUUGCGAUACAAUGUAAGCGGUACAGCGAAAGCGUUAAGUAUUCCACCUGGGGAGUACGC